rnacentral:rRNA from 1 species
UACGGAGGGGGCUAGCGUUGUUCGGAAUUACUGGGCGUAAAGCGCGCGUAGGCGGACCUGCAAGUCGGGGGUGAAAGCCCGAGGCUCAACCUCGGAACUGCCUUCGAUACUGCGGGUCUCGAGUCCGGGAGAGGUGAGUGGAAUUCCUAGUGUAGAGGUGAAAUUCGUAGAUAUUAGGAAGAACACCAGUGGCGAAGGCGGCUCACUGGCCCGGUACUGACGCUGAGGCGCGAAAGCGUGGGGAGCAAA